AUGGAAAUCCACGAGAAUUCGAUGGUUCUACAAAACAGCAGUAACGUGACAGUGGCGGAUUCGGUAUGGAAAUUUAUCAACAGUCCUGUCAUCGCGAUAUUCUCCGAUUUAAACAAUCCGACAGCCAAGCAAAUGCUGUCCUCGUUGUUGGAGUCUAUACUCAAAGGUUCAGCUACUCUAACAACAAUUUUAGUACCACCAUUCAGCAAUGGGAUGGAAAAUGAAACGCUAAGACGUCGAUAUAGCGCGUUUACUACGUGGUUGUUUGGGGCUAUGUUCUAUAUAAUAGGGAACCCUUUGAGCGAUGAGAUUUUGAAUAACAGUAUAGAAAUCCAAGCUUGUAUGCUCAGGAUAUUAUCUAGGCAUCAUAUAACAAUGUUCAAUACAAUCAGCAAUGAUUACAUGAAUCUCCUUCAAGAAAUAACAGUGUUCUAUAGAGUCAGUUCGAACGACGGAAGUAUUACAUUAACGAGGUUUAACACAGAAAGAGAUAUCAUAGAAAAUUUAGUUCUCCAAGCAUUUCCACUUGUUGUAAAACAUCCCGACAUACCAUUUGUACAAACUUCUAUUCUCAAAAUCAUGAAGAAGACUGACAUUUCUGGUUGGGACAAACAAAUGUUUUAUGAAACGAUAUUGAAAGUAAUGACUGUCUCCAUUCCAAGUGUAAAGUCCGUAGCAUUAGAUCUGUCUGCGAUAAUAGUAGAAUCUUCAUUGUAUAGCAAACAGGAAGUUGAAAGCUUGGUACUCUAUGCUAUCGAUGCUGUUAAAGCACUUCCCAUGUGGAUAAAUUUAGGUCUAAUAUCAGGGAUGCAAUUGAAUCAAUUUCUGUGCAUAUUUGUUCAGUUUAUCGCAUCGUGUCCGCUGUCUCAAAACAGCACCGAAUUGUGCUUUAAAAUCAUUGAUUUUACUGUAAAUGAAUUAAAACGUCAGGAUGUGAAUUUUGACGCAGUGAAUAUAAUGAAAAGAACAGUAUGUAACAGAAUUCGACAAUAUUUUACCUUGGAACCAAGAAUUUGUACUACAGACGAGAUCAAACGAUUCAUUUCGUAUUCCGAUUUCUGUCCGGAGUUCAUUACUGUAUACGCACACUCUGUUAUUAAUAUUGCGCACACAGUCAGUGCGGAUAUACCUAAUUCAUGGAAUCUAAUGAAAAGCGAAUUAAUGACUGCAUCGCAGAAGGGAAAAUUUGAAACGUGUAUGCAUAUUUUAAAGGCCUCGCGUAUUUUGCAAUAUUCGUUGAAAAAAUUAAAUAUGCCAGCAAUUUUGUACCAGACCGAAUUGGACGCCGUGUUGAAGACGAUAUUAGAGAAUUUAAAUUCCGGACAAUGUCGGAAUAAGUAUAUAACUUUCGAGAGUUUAAUUCACAUGAUGGCUCAUGAGGAAUCAAACAAAGACCUCAUUCAGAAGAUAUUGAUGUUACCAUUUAAUGAUAUUCCUGCAGAUAUAAUCAAUGAUUCUGCGAAAGAAAUUGUUAUGUCUGUUGAUACAGCUAUAAAAUUAAAAUGCAUCGAAGUUUUAUGCGAAUGUGGUAAAGGAAUAGAACUAUUACAGUCAUUGAAUUCAUGUAUAACAACUCAUCAAAUUGAACUAACAGUAGGAGUUGUGGAGAAUAGUUUUCUACUUUUGAGAAAUGGAAAAUUGAAGGAUAUUUCAAAAUACGUUUUGGAACCGGCGUUAGAAAUAGACAAAUGCGAGGUUCAUGAAGCACUCGUAGUCGUUUUAAGUAAAAUAAGUUGCUGUUUGUCAGGACACGCGAAUCUCAUAAGGGAAUCGGAUAAUACAAAGUGGACGGUACAGUGCAGACAUUGUACGAAUGUUUCUGAAAGCAAUCUUCCUGCUUACGUUUCAGAGGAGUACGACAGUAUUCUCAAAGUCUAUUUUACUUUAUUGUCUUCACCCUUUCCCUCAGUAUGCUUAUACGUAUCUGAGAAUAUCCUUGCAUUCUCGAACCACAUUAUAUCAUUUAAUAAUAACAACGUAGCAAAGAUGUGGCUGCCGUACAUGGAAGAUGAGAAUCCUAAAAUUCGUUCAAACAUUUCUACGGCGAUAAAAGGGUUGCUGUUAAAUAAAAUAAACAUCGAAUCAAAGUCCGUAGCAUCUAUUGAAAUCGAGGUACCGAUCGGUUUAGAGGAAUUUGUCGAACUAUGUAUCAGUACUAUAGCAGGUGCGCUUGUGAACGCUUUAACAAAUUCGAAUCACUCCCUACACAAGACCGUACUCGUGACUGCAAGGAAUUGUGCAAGUGCUCGGCUGCAGAUUAUGGAAAGACGAAUUUUAAAUAUAUUCUUUAUAUCUAUAUUACACGGGGCAUCAUCAUCAGCAGCUAUAGCGUAUGCGACCAUCACCUACAACGAUAUCGCCAAGUCUUUGAAUGUUACUCCAAAAGUCUUGUACGUUAGAUACAAGAAAAGCUUUCUUAAGUUGAUAAUGCAUUAUGCCGUUCACAAUUUUAUAUAUUAUUCUUAUAAUAUGGCAACGUCCGUGCAUCGAAUUGCUAAAUGUAUCGGUUACGAAGGAUCGCGUCAAUUACUUCGGAGAGACGGGCAUUACGCGGUUUGCUUUCUACUCCCGAUGAUCAUUGAACUGCCCACUACGAAGAGUUUGCUGCGCGAUGUAGCCGAUUUGAUCUGCAUGGACGAGAAACAAAUGUUGAAGGAAUAUUUCCCACACAUAUGCAGUUAUGCUUACUUGUAUUUGCCUCUUGUGACUAGCACCGAGUGCUUAAGAUUAAUCGCGAGGAACACGGGGACGGAGUUAUCAGUCUUGAUGCGACAAUCGUUUAUGGGCAUAUUCGAAGAACUGAUGUUAAACUUCCACCAGUCUCCGGAAAUGGUAGUUGGAUUAUUAAAGAUUAUAUCGGAGUACGAUAGCAGCCUGGAGAAGAAUUAUAUCGCUCAAAAAGGAAUCAAAUCAUAUAUAAAUUUGCGUUUACACGGCAUAUUAGUUAAUUUUGAUAUAAAACUUGGAUUAAAAUCGGAUGAAGACACGCAGCAGUCAGCGCUCAACUCGUUAUCUGAACUGAUGCGAUUUAUGGGCGCACAAUACUUGACGCCUUUGAGGUACAAGAUCUUAGCUACACUACGGACCGCGCUUGGAUUCAAGAAAGUAGGAUUUGGACCUCUCAUAUGUGACGCAUGGAACGCAUUCGUUCACAAUGUAGCUAUGAAAGAACUUGGUCCACUGCUACCGACGAUAUUCGUUUCCUUAAUGCCGUUAUUGAAUGCACACCAUGAAAAAGUAAUUACUAUGCUAAAGUUUUUAAUCGCGACGUGCCACGAAGAAUGUCCGGAUCACAUCGCUGAAUUAUUCUUUAUAGAGGAUAUUAAACUCCCCGAUGGGAUUUCGAACAUAAUUAAAGCACAGAUCUUGCAAAGCAGACCCAACGGCUUCGAGCCAAAUUUGAAUUUAUGGCUUAAACGUAUAAUCCACGAAACGGACGAAGUGAGAGUCAAGGCUCUUGUACACAUGCAAACGUUUUUAGCAGAGAAUCGUAGCCAAUUGAACGAGAUGAUUUUGAGCGAAACAAAUAUUCAUCCGAUGAUCGUCGAGCUGAUGCAUACUUUAUUAAGUGGGUGUCAGCACAAGGAUGAAUCCAUUCGUUUAUUGUACGGUGAAUGUUUAGGAGAAUUAGGUGCCAUUGAACCAAGCCUUCUACCUCGUCACAUUAUUUCUAGAGACGACAGUAAAUUUAUCGCUAACAUGAACGAUGAAUUCGGUUGUGCCAUGCUUGUCGAAUGUGCGAGAGCGUUUCAAAUGCAGAAGAGUAGUCAGAGCAUGGACUGUUUCUCGCUUGCGAUCCAAGAGAUCUUAAAAGCCUACAACAUCUCGCCGAAAGGUAGGAAUUUAGAUUUAUGGGACAAUCUGCCUGCGACUAUGAAACAGAUCAUUACUCCUUUCUUAACUUCGCAUUAUAAAUGCGCGACCGUAAGCGAUGAUAAAACGUUUCCCCAUCCGAUCUACGGUUCUGAGGACGGUUCUUCGGUAGAAAGUUGGGCUUACAAUUGGCUUUGCAGUAUGUUUAAGAGUAUAAAAGAUGAAACUCUUAAUACCGUGCUGCACGCGUGUAAACUAGCAUUUAAGCGAGAUAUAAAGAUAUUAUCGUUCUGUUUACCGCACGUUGUAACGUACAUCGUAACGAAGGGGACUGAAGAAGAAUCGGCAAAAAUACGAGAAGAGAUGUUGACGAUCAUCGAUCCCAGGAAAAAGCCGACACUCGAUCCGGAAUUGUCACGGCAUAGGCCACUUAGGCAUACGAACAGAGUAAAAGUAGAUAAUACGAGAAUUUCGGAAGAAACAAGGCGCAUACGUUGUGCUCAAAUCAUAUUUUCAGUAUUAGAUCAUUUACAACGAUGGCUUUGGGAGCAGCGAUUAAUCCGGAACAACAAAUACGAAGCGCUAAAAAAUUUUUGCAAAUCGUUGAAUGCGUUAGUAGUGGCCGAAGGGUGUUAUCAAUCCCGAGAAUAUUACAGAGCAUUGAUGUAUUUGGAGCAACACAUGUCUUCUUCUAAUAAAGGACUAUCGGAAGCGUUAGAAGGCAAUCUACUCGCUAAUAUAUAUGCGCAAUUGGACGAGCCUGACGCCAUAUCCGGUAUAUUAGUUACGCAGGAUCAUACGCCUACGAUACAGCAAUUAAUUUUAGCUCACGAAGUCAAUGGACAACUGCAGGAUGCAGCUACUUGUUACGAAAGAUUGGCUCAAAAGGAAAUGUUGAACGAUGCAUAUUUGCAAGGGAUGAUUCAAUGCUACUUACGACUAGAUCAACCUUUCGUAGCGAAACAUAUCACCGAAGGAUUCUUGUGCAGUAGACCGGAGUUAGAGCCAUUGAUGAUGGAACACGAGCCAUUUUGGAAUUUAGCAGAUUUUAGCAGGAUCGACGAUGGCUCGCAGAAAAAUAUAAAGCACGUACUGCUUGAAGAUUUAAAGAAAGGCAUCAAACCGGACUUAUCGGGUAUAAAAAAGAAUUUAGUUUCGCUGCUGGGAGAUGCAUCGCGUCCAGGAGCUUACCAACAAAGCUACUCGUACAUCAUGAAGUUGCAUAUACUAAACGAGUUUGAUAAAGCAGUCGCUACUAUGUUAACUAACGUGGAGCAAUUGCCGAUGAUAUUCGAUGAAUGGGAGACACGUGGCCAGCUCGUUCGUGCUUCGCGUGGUGUCGAAUUCGUGUUGAGUAUGCGCAGGUCUACGUUAGAUUUAGCCCUCCAGUUGCAAAGAGAGACUCAAAACACGGAGAAUACGGUACUCAAGCAAGAAAUCGGCAAGAUUUGGCUAAAGAGUGCUAAGAUAGCAAGGAAGAGUGGAUUGUACCAGCAAGCAUACAUGUACAUCUUGUCAGCCAGCGAUAUAUGUUCACCGCAACAACUUUACAUAGAACAAGCUCAACUGUACUGGCAAAAAGGUUGCCAGGAGGAUGCUUUGAUAACACUGAAGCGGUGCUUCUCUAAUUGUUUUCAACCAGCUACGUUCUACAAAAGUUUACCGACGGGAGAACGUUUGGAAGAGAGGAAGCAAUGCGCGAAGGCGAAAUUGUUGUACGCAAAAUAUAACGACAAAAGGUUGAACGUGGAUACCGAUGCUAAUAUAUUUAAUUAUAAAGAAGCUAUCGAAGUAUGGAGGGAAUGGGAGAAGAGUUUACUAUUCUGCGCGCAAUACUAUGAGUCCGUUAUAGACAAAAUGCCCGACGAAGAAAAAGACAUAAGGGGACGAGAUAUACAAGUGCACACUAUGAAUUAUUAUGGGAAGUCGCUUCAAUACGGCUGCAAGUACGUUCAUCAAUCUAUGCCGAGAAUGUUGACUAUCUGGUUGGAUUUUGCUUCCCGUGCAUCACGAUCAUGUACGUCUAAUAGCGGGCUUAAUCAGGAACAGAAAUCCCGGCAAGAUGCGUUAUUAAAAAUGACUAAGAUAAUGGAGGUGUAUCAAGAGAGACUACCGAUAUUCAUAUGGUUGACGGCGUUCAGCCAGCUUGUAUCCAGAAUAUGCCAUCCCUCCAUCGAAGUACAGAAGACCAUUUGCAACUUACUGGUGAAACUGAUUCACGCAUAUCCUCAACACAGUUUAUGGAUGAUGGCUUCGGUUAUUAACUCCUCGAAUCCUGCGCGUCAGAGACGAUGCCAAGAGAUCCUCGGUAACGCAAAACUCAAAACGCCAGAAAUGACGAAACUGAUUACAAACUUCCAUAAAUUGUGGCAGCGACUAAUCGAAUUAUCGAACAAAAAUAUUUCAGAUGGCAUUACGAAUACUUCGGUCGAUGUUUUAUCGAAGAAUCUUCUUCAUUUGCUUUCGAACAGGGAUUUGAGAAUAAUGAUACCAACAACGAAAUUCAGGCAAUUACAUCUCCCAUCGAAAGGAAUGCCGCUGGAGGAUCAUAAUCCAUUUUCCUCAAAUUGGACGUAUGUAACGGGCAUAGAGAACAACGUGGUCAUCAUGCCGUCCCUUCAAAGACCUCGACGCAUUACGUUAAAAGGAUCAGAUGGCAAGAAGUAUCUCUUUAUGUGUAAAGCGAAAGACGAUCUACGAAUAGAUUUCAGAUUGAUGGAAUUCAACGAUAUCGUAAAUAAAUAUCUGCAAAAUGAUCCGGAGUCGCGGCAAAGAAGACUGUACAUUCGGACAUACAGCGUUGUGCCUCUUAAUGAAGAAUGCGGUUUGAUAGAAUGGGUGCCGAAUUUAGUAGGCUUUAGACCUAUCAUAUUGGGUUUAUACGAAGAAAGAAAUAUCAAAAUGUCGAAAAGAGAACUCAAAGCUUCACUGUGUGCUCUGAGAGAUCCGCUGGAAAAGAAGAGGAAGAUAUUCCUGGAACAUUUACUUCCACGGCAUCCUUCUGUCCUCGGAGAUUGGUUCCGUCUCACAUUUCCCGACGCGUACGGUUGGUACGAAGCACGCACGGCUUAUAUUAGAACCACGGCAGUGAUGUCCAUGGUAGGAUACAUUCUUGGACUCGGGGAUCGCCACGGAGAGAACAUACUAUUUGAUUCUAAGUGCGGAGAUUGCGUGCACGUAGAUUUCAACUGUUUAUUCAAUAGGGGAGAGUUGUUCGAGUGGCCGGAACGUGUGCCGUUUCGUUUAACGCACAAUAUGGUUGAUGCCAUGGGGCCGUUAAAGAUCGAGGGUCCAUUUAGGCGAGCCUGUGAAAUCACUAUGAGGGUCCUGCGACAACAGAGUAGCACGUUGUUGAGCGUGUUAACACCGUUUGUGUAUGAUCCGCUUGUAACUUGGAAUAAAAAUAAUAUCGGCGAAAGUGGUGAAAAAACGAACGAGAAGGCCGUGGAACACAUCAAAAAUAUAGAGCAACGAUUGAAAGGGUUAAUUAGAUAUCAUGGAAAAAAGCUAGAGAACAUUGCUUUGAAUUUGAGCGUUGAGGGGCAAACUAAUCAUUUGAUUCUGGAGGCAACGAACGUAGACAAUCUCUGCCAGAUGUACUUCGGAUGGGGCGCGUACAUAUAAGCGAAUCUUUUAUUCUAAGCUUUUCAUACGAACCAAUCAAGCUUCUGAUUCGAAGCUUCGAAGCAUCGCGAAGUAUGAAAACGCUGUGCUGAGUAUCUGUAAUUGUAAAUUUGGUCAACCGAUAAAUUCAGUCUGCCUCGGGCAACAGUAUUUAGUAAAGUUGACAAAACUUGGCUUCUGAGAACGUAAGAUGAUCAUGCGUAUCUCGUGCUCGACGAAAUUUGGUAAUUGCCACCAAUCUGUAGAAUAUGCA